rnacentral:rRNA from 1 species
UGAAACACGGACCAAGGAGUCUAACAUGGGCGCGAGUUACUGGGUUGCUAAACCUAAGAGCGUAAUGAACGUAAAGGCUGGCUCUGGUCAGCUGACAUGGGAUCCGUGGCUUCGGCUGCGGCGCACCAUGGUCCCGCCCUGACUGCAUUGUCAGUGGGGCGGAGAUAGAGCGUGCAUGUUGGGACCCGAAAGAUGGUGAACUUUGCCUGAUCAGGAUGAAGCCAGAGGAAACUCUGGUGGAAGUCCGUAGAGGUUCUGACGUGCAAAUCGAUCUUCAGAAUUGGGUAAAGGGGCGCAAGACUAAUCGAACCGUCUAGUAGCUGGUUCACUCCGAAGUUUCCCUCAGGAUAGCUGGUGUUCGGAGCAGUUUUAUCCGGUAAAGCGAAUGAUUAGAGGCCUUGGGGACGAAAUGACCUCAACCUAUUCUCAAACUUUAAAUGGGUAAGAAGUCUAGCUUGCCUGACCGAAGCAAGACAAUUGAAUGCAGAAUGCCAAGUGGGCCAUUUUUGGUAAGCA